AACGAACGCUGGCGGCAUGCCUAACACAUGCAAGUCGAACGAAGCCUUCGGGCUUAGUGGCGCACGGGUGCGUAACGCGUGGGAAUCUGCCCUUGGGUUCGGAAUAACAGUUAGAAAUGACUGCUAAUACCGGAUGAUGUCUUCGGACCAAAGAUUUAUCGCCCAAGGAUGAGCCCGCGUAGGAUUAGGUAGUUGGUGGGGUAAUGGCCCACCAAGCCGACGAUCCUUAGCUGGUCCGAGAGGAUGAUCAGCCACACUGGAACUGAGACACGGCCCAGACUCCUACGGGAGGCAGCAGUGGGGAAUAUUGGACAAUGGGCGAAAGCCUGAUCCAGCAAUGCCGCGUGAGUGAUGAAGGCCUUAGGGUUGUAAAGCUCUUUUACCAGGGAUGAUAAUGACAGUACCUGGAGAAUAAGCUCCGGCUAACUCUGUGCCAGCCGCCGCAGUAACAC
rnacentral:rRNA from 1 species